rnacentral:rRNA from 1 species
AGAGUUUGAUCCUGGCUCAGGACGAACGCUGGCGGUGCGCUUUAUGCAUGCAAGUCGAGCGAAGCUUUUCAGUAGUUUACUACAGAAAAUGACUGAGCGGCGAACGGGUGAGUAACGCGUGAGCAAUCUACCUUAGUUACAGGGAUAGCCCGAGGAAACUCGGAUUAAUACCUGAUAUUCUUUUUAUCUCGCAUGAGGUUUUAAGGAAAGGUCAGCCGAACUAAGAUGAGCUCGCGUUCUAUCAGCUAGUUGGUGAGGUAAUAGCUCACCAAGGCUACGACGGAUAGCUGGUCUGAGAGGACGAUCAGCCACACUGGGACUGAGACACGGCCCAGACUCCUACGGGAGGCUGCAGCAGGGAAUAUUGCGCAAUGAGCGAAAGCUUGACGCAGCGACACCGCGUGUGGGAUGACGGAUCUAGGUUUGUAAACCACUUUCAGGAGGGAAGAAAAUGACGGUACCUCCACAAGAAGCCCCGGCCAACUACGUGCCAGCAGCCGCGGUAAUACGUAGGGGGCGAGCGUUGUCCGGAUUUAUUGGGCGUAAAGAGCUCGUAGGCGGUUCAACAAGUCGGUCGUGAAAGUUCAGGGCUCAACCCUGAAAUGUCGAUCGAUACUGUUGUGACUAGGAUACGGUAGAGGUGAGUGGAAUUCCGAGUGUAGCGGUGAAAUGCGUAGAUAUUCGGAGGAACACCAAUUGCGAAGGCAGCUCACUGGGCCGCUAUCGACGCUGAGGAGCGAAAGCUAGGGGAGCAAACAGGAUUAGAUACCCUGGUAGUCCUAGCUGUAAACGAUGGAUACUAGACGUAGGAACUGGAUUGACGGUUUCUGUGUCGUAGCUAACGCGUUAAGUAUCCCGCCUGGGGAGUACGGUCGCAAGACUAAAACUCAAAGGAAUUGACGG